rnacentral:rRNA from 1 species
UACGUAGGGUGCAAGCGUUAAUCGGAAUUACUGGGCGUAAAGCGUGCGCAGGCGGCUUUGCAAGACAGAUGUGAAAUCCCCGGGCUUAACCUGGGAACUGCAUUUGUGACUGCAUGGCUGGAGUGCGGCAGAGGGGGAUGGAAUUCCGCGUGUAGCAGUGAAAUGCGUAGAUAUGCGGAGGAACACCGAUGGCGAAGGCAAUCCCCCCGGGCCUGCACUGACGCUCAUGCACGAAAGCGUGGGGAGCAAACAGG